UACAGAGGUCCCGAGCGUUGUUCGGAUUCACUGGGCGUAAAGGGUGCGUAGGUGGCCUAAAAAGUUUGAUGUGAAAGCUCAGGGCUUAACCCUGAAAUGGCAUUGAAUACUGUUGGGCUGGAGGUUUGGAGGGGGGACUGGAAUUCUUGGUGUAGCAGUGAAAUGCGUAGAUAUCAAGAGGAACACCAGUGGCGAAGGCGAGUCCCUGGACAACACCUGACACUGAGGCACGAAAGCUAGGGGAGCAAACGGG
rnacentral:rRNA from 1 species